UCUAUACGAGAGAGCCUCUCUCAGCUUCAGUGUAGAACUACCUGUGUACGUCUCACGCGAUCACACACGGUCAAAGUGUUAAGUUCAUUUGUGGUAUCCGUCGCCGUGAUAUUGCAGAAAUGUUGCUAAUAGCGGCCUAAAGCCAUACCCACUCACUCACGCACGAUCAAAAGAGUGGUUUUCCAUUUCACACCUCCAACCUGUACCAGUUAUGGAGACUGUCAUGUGGCGACCUCUGAGCUAUGGUGGAGUGGGGAAUCGAACCCGGGUCGUCUGCUCGACGGGCGAACGCUUUAACCACUGGGAUACCCAACCGUCCCACUAAUAGUUCUACCUAUGGAAUUGGCCUUGUACGCUGCGCCGUAUACGUCAUGAAGGAUUACGAUUGCUAUUCGGCAAGGGAAGAAUCAGAGUGUGCAUAUCUGUGGGAACUAUACCUAUUCCAGCUCGAAUACAACGCCUUCUUUAAGCGUUGUAUCGUCAGCGACGUAACCGACCUCUCCGUUGUAUGGAGCUCAGGCUGUGGAUCCCAAAAUGGCGUACUUCCAAAGUAACUGUGAUUAAACACAGGCUUGGUGUCCAAACAAUUUCUAUAUUUACACGUAGAUGUCUUUAAUAAUAACGUUGUCCCCUGAUACCGAAUUCAAGGGUGUAUCUGCCACAUGGGUGUACCAACAGAGAAAAUGUUUUUAAAAAACCGAUUUGGUGUGCAAACAAAAUCAACAUUUACUGCAGAUGACUUUAGGACUGCAGGAAAAUACGACUGUUGUUUAGUUUACCUGUGAAUAUCCUGAAAUGGCAACUUCACUGACCAAUUAAUCUCUCAGCUCGUUGAUGCGUCGUAGAUUUAAUAACUCACUCUCAUACUGUAUGUUCCCUCACCUCACCAUCUGUGUAUAGAUCAACGAGAUGAGGAUCGUACACAAUCCAUCGUCCAUACUUCAGGUCCAUGCUAUCAACCGUGACCAAGGCAACUGAAUACCCCUUGCGUACCAUCAACUCAUCAAAGACCCCCAUCAGUCAUAAUCCCUUUGUUUAUACUAUUGACUUCACUUGUUAAGAUGUUUUCCUUACAUCAUCCCUUUUGUGUACAUAACAGGCUUCUCCACUCCAGUAUAGAUACAUCCCAAUCUACUCUACUGUAUACAAACUGCCUCAUACCUGCAUAUAUGCUUGUCAAACAUACUCUGUACAUCACAUUCUUGAUAGCAUCAGGCAGCUUUGAUUCCUUCAAUCCGACUUUGAUUAGUCUCAGUAAGUGCGGAUAUGUUGAGAUAAUGAAUUCUGGAAAAAGGAAUGGACGUUGCACACUGACUGUCCGCCACCGAGAAAGCAGCCCUAGAUUUGUUGAGAUGAGAGACAGAGAGAGAGUAGAUCAGACGUUUCAGUCUCGAUAGCGUUGAGCAUGUUGGGAUGGUUCAAGAGGUGCCCUACCUCGGCACAUGUCAAUGAAUUUGGUUUUUGUCCAGUUUGUAGGGGCUCAAUCAAGUUCAUCUGGGCAGCCGUCAGAACCUCUGAGGUGCACACUGAGGAGUCUAAAUGUGCUGAAAUUAGUCCAGAUGGGGCUAUGAAUUCUACCAUAGCUUCGAUAAU